CCGUUGUUGAAAGUUUUGAAUAUUUGUUAUAAUAUUACAAAAAGAUAAAUCUUUCUGGAAUUCUGGUUUUGACUGGGUUAAAAAUAUUACAAAGUUGUUUGUGUUUGUUACCUCUGGGCUGCCGAAGCUGCCCAAAGAAGCAUGCAAAGAAUUAUAAAAUCUCCACAGUGUGUAAUAGUGCUACUGAGCUACAGAGACCCACCAAACCGCGCAAUUAAGCGCUGGUUCGGCAGUAUGUGUCUCCAAGCAAAGCAACGAAUAAUUAUAUUUCUAUAAUGAUCCUU
rnacentral:misc_RNA from 1 species